UUGACCAUAAUGUAACUGUACAAGGGCGACCAUAUUGUCUUAGUAUUGAGGAAAGGCAGGUAGUAAAAGAAAGAGUAGAUUGUAACGGAGUGAUCGUUACCCGUUAAAAGCCCUUUUAUCCGCACCCAUUAUGUUAUCGACGGAUCACAGAGCGCUGUGAUCUGCAGCCCUCGUAGUCAUAGUUUGACACUUGUGAGUGAGUCCCCAAGGUGGAGGUGUCGGCAGUGAGAGUGGGGAGAGCAGAGGAAGAAAGAAACGCACCGACAAAAUUCGGAAGAGUCAUUGUGACCGAACAGUCAAACCGAACAGUCGCGCAAAAAUUAAUAGCAAAGCACAGAUUCAUAAAAUAUUCGGAGAAACGAGUGACGGUGACCGAGGUCUCGCUGCCAAGCAGAAUUUUCCACCGAGGAGGGAUUUGUACCAGUGACGACGACAAGGAGUUGUAGCUCUUCGAGGGAGUUCAUUAACGUC
rnacentral:lncRNA from 1 species